CUCCAGCAGGUUGCAAGUGGUCCCAGGUGAUGAGAGCAAAGAAAACUUGGUCUUUUUAGGAUGCCUCAGUCAUAUGGUUCAGAGAGAUGUUCAGAAGAGGGGUGAAGCAGACAGGCACUACAGAGGGCAGCACUGGGAGAUGCCCAUUGCAGAGCUGGACAACUGGCUGCAGAACAGGACAGUGGCUCUCUCCUCAAACCAGAAGACCUUACAAAGGCACAGGGACCAAAUUGAAAAGGUUCCUGAGACAAACAGUGCUAUGCAAAGUCCAUGGCCUUCAGUGAAACAUGAAGAAAUUUCUGCAUCAGCCACUGAAGGAAAAACAUGGAGAAGGUGUCCUUGAAAAAUAAAAUUUGGGAAGAACAAAGGAAAGAUAGGGGAUUUUGUCCAUGCCAAACAAGACAAAGCUGAGAAGAAGAGUUUCAGUCACAAGCAUAUGGUUAAAUAAACUUAUCUUGCAAGUAUCUGUCAGGAGAUGCUAGCUUGGCACCUGCAUGCAGAUCUUGUUUGCUGGGCAGAACAAAAACUAUACAAAG